rnacentral:rRNA from 1 species
UACGAAGGAUGCAAGCGUUAUCCGGAUUCAUUGGGUUUAAAGGGAGCGUAGGUGGCCUUAUAAGUCAGUGGUGAAAUCUCUGGGCUUAACCCAGAAAUUGCCAUUGAUACUGUAGGGCUUGAGUAUAGUUCCGUUGGCGGAAUAUGACAUGUAGUGGUGAAAUACAUAGAGAUGUCAUAGAACACCGAUUGCGAAGGCAGCUGACGAAACUAUAACUGACACUGAGGCUCGAAAGUGCGGGGAUCAAACAGG